rnacentral:tRNA from 1 species
GGAGAGAUGGUAGAGUGGUCGAUUACAACGGUCUUGAAAACCGUCGUGCCGAGAGGCACCGGGGGUUCGAAUCCCUCUCUCUCCGCUA